CGGGGUGACGAAAGGGAAGCGGAACUAAGUCCCGCCGGAAUUUUGUGUUCCCCUCGGGACGGUGUCGCGGUAACACCGGUCCACUUCCGGGUUGCGCCCGAUGUCGCAAUAACAACGCUAAUGACAGAUUGACAUCUGGUGUGGGGAGUUUGAUGUGGCGAUCUGUGAGAGGAUUAUGGAGGCGGAGUAACCACAUAAAAAGAGAAGUGCAGAGACCAUGAGGAGGGUUGGUGAUUCUUUUUGGUCGUUCGUUCUCCCGGCUAUUCUUCCUGGUUGGCUUGCCCCCGUGUGUGGUUCCUCUUUUUAGACGUGUUCCCCUAGGAGAGGUGAAUUCCUGGGACGUUUGGGCUGGCGUGUGGAGGUAUUCGAGGACUAUUGUGGGGUUUUGGCUAUCUGGCUGUGCAACAGAUAUAUCAGCGAUCGAGUGGAGAUAUUCAGGACAGAAAGAGUGUGAGUUCUGGAAAGCAAGUGAAGACUAGACCGCGCCAUCGCUAUCGGAGGGAAGUUAAGAGACCGGAUCUGGGAUUUCGAUCAAUUGUAUACAUCUGGACUGGGAGUGAUAACGUUGUGAAGUGGACGGAGUCAUCGUUGGGUGAGUGCUGGCUCUAUUUGCACUAAGAGUGGGUGUGCCGUGUCUGAAGUGGUGUGUUUGCACAAUAAAUCGUUUGAAGUGAAGUUACAGAGUGUGGGGAAGAUAUAUAGAGUUAAUGCCGGACGCUCACCACCCCGAGAGCCCACCACCGUCACCGUAAUCCACACCCAGGCACUCAACUGAAGCAUCUCCCAGCCGUAAGCCCCACUACUUAUUCAAGAACACAUACUUGCUGUUGAUUACUUACUCUGCUGUGCAGAUCGCAGGAUCCUCUGGGCCGAAUGCCGCAUGUGAUGUCCUUAUGAAAAGAGGUGGACACAAGAAUUAUUCCUUUCCCGGUCACAACCGAAGCCUCUCCCAGCCGUAAGCCCCACUACUUAUUCAAGAACACAUACUUACUGUUGAUUACUUACUCUGCUGUGCAGAUCGCAGGAUCCUCUGGGCCGAAUGCCGCAUGUGAUGUCCCUAUGAAAGGAGGUGGACACAAGAAUUAUUCCUUUCCCGGUCACAACCGAAGCCUCUCCCAGCCGUAAGCCCCACUACUUAUUCAGGAACGCAUACUUGCUGUUGAUUACCUACUCUGCUGUGCAGAUCGCAGGAUCCUCUGGGCCGAAUGCUGCAUGUGAUGUCCCUGUAGAAAGAGGUGGACACACGAAUUAUUCCUUUCCCGGUCUUAACCGAAGCCUCUCCCAGCCGUAAGCCCCACUACUUAUUCAAGAACGCAUACUUGCUGUUGAUUACCUACUCUGCUGUGCAGAUCGCAGGAUCCUCUGGGCCGAAUGCUGCAUGUGAUGUCCCUGUAGAAAGAGAUCGCAGGAUCCUCUGGGCCGAAUGCUGUAUGUGAUGCCCCUGUAGAAAGAGGUGGACACACGAAUUAUUCCCUUCCCGGUCUUAACCGAAGCAUCUCCUAGCCGUAAGCCCCAUUACUUAUUCAAGGACACAUACUUACUGUUGAUUACUUACCCCGCUGUGCAGACCACAGGAUUCUCUGGGCCGAAUGCUGCAUGUGAUGUCCCUGUAGAAGGAGGUGGACACGAGAAUUAUUCCUUUUCCCGGUCUCGACCGAAACAUCCACGAGCUCUACUUACCCGGAUACCCCCCCUCACUCCGGGACGGGUGACAGACUACCCUGGCUCUUGCUGGCCCCGUACAGGCACAAACUGCCGACGACUCCACGCCUUCCCGGCGUCCGAGGUCUGGCUCCGUUCUGGUCGGGAGACACGGAAGGAACACUGAACUUUUAAAUUGCUUUUAAUCAAAUAAAACCUUGUUCAUUUUU